rnacentral:lncRNA from 1 species
GCUGAUAGCUGAAAAGCUAGCUAAUUGAAAUUAAAGUGUUUGGUAAAAUUAGCUUUUGAAGUGGUUAAUAAAUAUAAAAUGACAUAAUUGAUAGUGGGUAGUUUAUUUUUUAGAGUGGGUAGUUAUUAAAUUAAAGGGUAAAAAUGGAAUAAAGUUAAAAAGUUAUAAGCUAUAAGCUCAAACGCUACUUGAAAUAGCAUCUGGAAAAAAGCUAUAAGCUAGUAAAAAAAGCUUGUUACCAAACACCUCUAAUUUUUUGAAACA